UACUUCACCUCUGAUUACAAACAGAGACCCCUUAGUUGGAAGCCAAGAAUACUGAUGUACUCGUGAAGU
rnacentral:tRNA from 1 species